rnacentral:rRNA from 1 species
CCGCGGUAAUACGAAGGGUGCAAGCGUUAAUCGGAAUGACUGGGCGUAAAGCGCGCGUAGGUGGUUUGUUAAGUUGGAAGUGAAAGCCCCGGGCUCAACCUGGGAACUGCUUUCAAAACUGGCAAGCUAGAGUAUGGCAGAGGGUGGUGGAAUUUCCUGUGUAGCGGUGAAAUGCGUAGAUAUAGGAAGGAACACCAGUGGCGAAGGCGACCACCUGGGCUAAGACUGACACUGAGGUGCGAAAGCGUGGGGAGCAAACAGG